rnacentral:rRNA from 1 species
AUUGAACGCUGGCGGCAGGCCUAACACAUGCAAGUCGAGCGGAUGAAGGGAGCUUACUCCUGGAUUCAGCGGCGGACGGGUGAGUAAUGCCUAGGAAUCUGCCUGGUAGUGGGGGAUAACGUCCGGAAACGGGCGCUAAUACCGCAUACGUCCUGAGGGAGAAAGUGGGGGAUCUUCGGACCUCACGCUAUCAGAUGAGCCUAGGUCGGAUUAGCUAGUUGGUGGGGUAAAGGCCUACCAAGGCGACGAUCCGUAACUGGUCUGAGAGGAUGAUCAGUCACACUGGAACUGAGACACGGUCCAGACUCCUACGGGAGGCAGCAGUGGGGAAUAUUGGACAAAGGGCGAAAGCCUGAUCCAGCCAUGCCGCGUGUGUGAAGAAGGUCUUCGGAUUGUAAAGCACUUUAAGUUGGGAGGAAGGGCAGUAAGUUAACACCUUGCUGUUUUGACGUUACCAACAGAAUAAGCACCGGCUAACUUCGUG